rnacentral:rRNA from 1 species
AUUGAACGCUGGCGGCAGGCUUAACACAUGCAAGUCGAGUGGGGGAAGGUAGCUUGCUACUGGACCUAGCGGCGGACGGGUGAGUAAUGCUUAGGAAUCUGCCUAUUAGUGGGGGACAACAUCUCGAAAGGGAUGCUAAUACCGCAUACGUCCUACGGGAGAAAGCAGGGAAUCUUCGGACCUUGCGCUAAUAGAUGAGCCUAAGUCGGAUUAGCUAGUUGGUGGGGUAAAGGCCUACCAAGGCGACGAUCUGUAGCGGGUCUGAGAGGAUGACCGGCCACACGGGGACUGAGACGCGGCCCAGACUCCUACGGGAGGCAGCAGUGGGGAAUAUUGGACAAUGGGGGAACCCUGAUCCAGCCAUGCCGCGUGUGUGAAGAAGGCCUUAUGGUUGUAAAGCACUUUAAGCGAGGAGGAGGCUACUUUAGUUAAUACCUAGAGAUAGUGGACGUUACUCGCAGAAUAAGCACCGGCUAACUCUGUGCCAGCAGCCGCCGUAA